AGCCUGUGAUGUGACUACAAUAUUUGCUACUCUUGAUGGGUUAAAACCUAUUUGAUGAUCUCAACCACCAAGAUCUCUGAGGCA